rnacentral:lncRNA from 1 species
GAGACCCCAGGCUUUGAGGAAGCUGUGACCCCCUCUUAGGGCUGUCAGAGCGGCAGCAGUGCAGGGUCUGUGGUGCUGAGAGCCUGAUUUCGCACUAGCCUGUCAUUUAUAUGUUUUAGUGAAACACAGCCUGAGAGAAGGGGAGCUUUCUGGAAGUUGUUUUUUGUGUCCAUUGUAAGAAAAGCCAGGGGCAUUGGCAUGCUCUCGUUUAAGAGCUGUCACUGAGUCAAGGUUUCAUUCCAGCAUGUGCAUACUUCGCAGCAUUUUCAUGAUUUUGACAUCUCUAGUUUAUGGAAUCUUCACUGAAUAUUUGUCUGUCUUUUCUUAAUCUACUCGAGGACAGAGUAUCACUGAUUGUCUUACUGCUGCUCUGCGUUUAGCAUGAAGUAGAGCAUGGCAUACAUGCUUAUAUCAUGAAUGACAGACAGCUCAGGUGAUCCACCUAUUUCCUGUGUCCACCCAUGAAGACUGACAAAUAAUAUGCAAGAGAGACAGACUCUACUCUGGACUUGAAAGAUAGCAACUAAAAGAAAAGAUCCUGAUGAUUUCAAAUGAUGAAAAUGUCAGGACAGGGGACUCCAUGUGUGGGAAGAAUUGAAGUGAAUCUUCUGUGCUCAGUACUUGUGAAUCCCGUUUGAGGACACCUAACACUCUGCAUGGACCUGCACAGGGAAUACACAAUCUAUUCACGUAGAACAGAUCAGAAACCGGGCUUCAACAGGUGCUCAAAAGAUGAUCAGAGUACAAGCAUACUAGUGGCAGCAAUUUCCCUCUAACAGUGGUUAAGACCAUCCCUCAUCAAGUGUUCUGGAGUGAUUGAGCAAAACAAGAUGAGAUAAACAGAACAUACAGUGAGGAACUGAAGGAAAAACAAAACAAAACAAAAAAAUCCUCUCCUGAGACAAACCUAAUAACUGGCUCCAAAAGCUCUCAUAAAUUAUUAGCUUUGAAAUCACUCAAAGUGUCUGGAAUGUUGUAUGUGUCACUGAUGUACUUGAAGUUCACCUAAGAAACUGCAUCAUCAAAAUGUGCCGACAAAAAAUGCCAGCAGCUACGCCACCUUGCAAUCAAUCACAUAUCUGUUUUAGAAUUAUAAAGUGUCAUAGAAUGUAAUUUCAUCUGGUUCUGCCGCAUACAUUUAAAUCUUCAUAUUCUUACUGAGGAAGGAAGAAGACUAAAACCAAUUCAUUUCUCUUUUCCUCCAUCUGAUUGAUUACUUUUUUCCAUAAAGCUUAUGUU